rnacentral:rRNA from 1 species
AUUGAACGCUGGCGGCAGGCUUAACACAUGCAAGUCGAGCGGAGAUGAGGUGCUUGCACCUUAUCUUAGCGGCGGACGGGUGAGUAAUGCUUAGGAAUCUGCCUAUUAGUGGGGGACAACAUUCCGAAAGGAAUGCUAAUACCGCAUACGUCCUACGGGAGAAAGCAGGGGAUCUUCGGACCUUGCGCUAAUAGAUGAGCCUAAGUCGGAUUAGCUAGUUGGUGGGGUAAAGGCCUACCAAGGCGACGAUCUGUAGCGGGUCUGAGAGGAUGAUCCGCCACACUGGGACUGAGACACGGCCCAGACUCCUACGGGAGGCAGCAGUGGGGAAUAUUGGACAAUGGGGGGAACCCUGAUCCAGCCAUGCCGCGUGUGUGAGGAAGGCCUUAUGGUUGUAAAGCACUUUAAGCGAGGAGGAGGCUACUGAGACUAAUACUCUUGGAUAGUGGACGUUACUCGCAGAAUAAGCACCGGCUAACUCUGUGCCAGCAGCCGCCGUAAUAC